rnacentral:rRNA from 1 species
GGCCUAAUGUCUUGUAAUAUGUAAUGAUGGUGACCCAAACCCUCACCAGAGUAGCAAUUGGAGGGCAAGUCUGGUGCCAGCAGCCGCGGUAAUUCCAGCUCCAAUAGCGUAUAUUAAACUUGUUGCAGUUAAAAAGCUCGUAGUUGAAUUUUAGCGUGUUCGAGUUUGCCAUUCGUUUGGCUUUUUCGAGUUCGCUUUUGGGUUUUCCCUUUUUACUUUGAGAAAAUUAGAGUGUUUCAAGCAGACUUUUGUCUUGAAUACUUCAGCAUGGAAUAAUAGAGUAGGACUUUGGUUCUAUUUUGUUGGUUAUUGAACCUUAGUAAUGGUUAAUAGGAACGGUUGGGGGCAUUCGUAUUUAAAA